GCCGGCGGGAAAGAACAGUUCUGAGUUCAGCAGACAGUGACGUUAGUUGAGAGGAGUUCCAAUUAACGCCGAAUUUUUGUGCAUCACGACCUUACCUUUACAUUCGAGAUUUAUGGCCUCUUUGGACAGACAGAGCUCUCAGGUUCUCCAGGUUAUUAGGAGCAAAGGUGGAGUCCUCCGUGAAAAAACUAAGGACACUAUUGAAGUUAUGGAUCAGAGUCUGGACAUAGACAUCAGAAGAGAGAGCCUGCUGAAGUGCCUGAUCAUGUACCUUGGUGAAGAUGCAAGCUGUCUGAUCAAAGAAUACCAGGUUUUUUUUCCUCCCAUCUUGUAGCCUACUCGCGCCCCCCCGGGAGAGUGUCCGCGCCCCCCCGGUUGAGAACCACUGAGCAACAAUUCUUUUUUUCAGAUCCUCAGAGAGUUCUUUGCCAUGAGGUGCCAUGUUGAACUUCCAGUGACCAGUAUGAGAGAGUGAGAGCGAUAACACCAAAUUUAACACACCUGCUCCCCAUUCACACCUGAGACCGUGUGACACUAACGAGUCACAUGACACCGGGGAGAGAAAAUGGCUAAUUGGGCCCAAUUUGGACAUAUUCACUUAGGGGUGUACUCACUUUUGUGGCCAGCGGUUUAGACAUUAAUGGCUGUGUGUUGAGUUAUUUUGAGGGGACAGAAAAUUUACACUGUUAUACAAGCUGUACACUCACUACUUUACAUUGUAGCAAAGAGUCAUUUCUUCAGUGUUGUCACAUGAAAAGAUAUAAUAAAAUAUUUACAAAAAUGUGAGGGGUGUACUCACUUCUGUAUCCCAAAUGUUUCCAAGAAUGUUUAAAUUCAGAGAAAAAAGUAAUUUUAACCAGGACAUGAACGUGUCCGUCUGUCUGUGCGUCGCCUAUCAGUGACGUCAUACCCGCGUUACCCUCGAUUUCCGAUUUUAUUUUGUAGAAACCAUGGAAAUAUAUUGCAUGUUUUAUUAGCAACAUGUCCUCCAACUAAUAUGCCCAUAUAGGUCGUUUGUCACUUCCCUGAAAUACAACCCAUAGGAGCGUUUACUAAAGUUGCGCCCCUAUCGACAACAGGACACUUUCAUUUUAAUGCAUUGUUCCCUUUUAUCUGUGUAGUAUUUUGGGUUUUGCGUAGCUCAAUUGGUAGAGCAUUGCAAUAUCCAAAAAUAUGCGAUCAUGUGAUCAUGCGAUUGUGGGUUUGAUCCCAGGGAAUGCAUGUGCUCAUAAAGUGUAUAUGUACUAUAAAUCACUAAGGGUAGGUUUAGUGUUGGGGUGGGUGUAGUCGUUAAUAAAAAAAUGAGUUUUGCAAAAUGGAAAUAGGACAAAUGGCGGGUAAGGGACUGUGUAAAAAGUCCACACAUUGCAUUUAAAUGAACACGCAUUUUGAUUGGUAAUGACGGUCAUACGUCAUUUCUUGAUGACAGACGCAACACGACACUGUCAUUAUUUUUACGCCAGCUAGAGGGUGCAUGACUUUAAAACGUAAAUAUAGGUCGUAAUAAGGUGCUUGAAAAAAGGUUGUUUUUUGGAGGAGGACAGAUGAGCAACUGUUUGGAUUGUAAUUAUUGUUAUAUAGCUCAACACGUUUAGUCUUAUUGUUUAAAUCUAGUUUUCUUGAUUUUCCGAGAGUACCAUGUUUUAAUAUGCCUCAGAAAAAAUCACUAUUUUGUCAAGUAGCUAACAUAGCAUAAUCAUGUCACGGAGUCACGACCAUCACAGACCAAUUACAACCCAUCAUCACCAGAUCAGCACGCUUACCGACUCGUUCACUUUCCCUGGAAUCCUGAUUCACUGCACCUCAUCAUCAGCCCUCACUAUAAAGAGACACUUCUCCUGCAUUCCCUUGUCUGGUCUUGUCUGUACGAACUCUAAAGACACCUUAGACUUACCUGCUCAUUGGAAUCCUUACCCGUCUUCAGUUAUCUGUCAUCCGCCCUUCGUCUUCUUCUGAUACAUUCAUCUGCAAAAGAGACAUUAAAAUUACUUCAAGCUAAGUCAACAUUCUA